rnacentral:snRNA from 1 species
ACCUUUGCGCAGUGGCAGUAUCGUAGCUUAUGAGGUUAAUCCGAGGCGCGAUUAUUGCUAGUUGAAAACUUUUCCCAAUUAGAUCUCUGUUAUAAGAGAGGCAAUCUGUCCACUUCCCAGACCAGGUGAGUUGAAAGUUAGAAAAUCUUUAAAAUGGUUUAAAUUG